CGGAGCGCAGGGAGUCCGGCGAGCGCCAGGCGCCGGGGCCGGCAUGGCGUGGCCCUGCAUCAGCCGCCUCUGCUGCCUGGCGCGGCGCUGGAACCAGCUGGACCGAUCCGACGUGGCCGUGCCACUGACCCUGCACAGCUACUCCGACCUCGAGAGCGAGGAGCCGGGACUGGGCGGUGCCACCUCGCGCAGGGGCCCGUCCCUCGCAGGCGCGCGGGACCCCGGCCGGGACGUGCCGCUUACUCAGUACCAGCGGGACUUCGGCGUGUGGACGGCUCCCGCGGGGCCCAGAGAUGGAACACUGGGGCGCAAGCCGGGAGCGGGCGGCCGCAGGAUCAAGCCCCCCGCGCCCUACAGCCGGGGGGUCUACGUGCUCCCCGUCGGCGACGCAGAUGCGGCUGCAGCGGCGACCACAUCGUACAGACAGGAAUUCCAGGCUUGGACUGGAGUGAAGCCAUCGAGAUCCACAAAGGUGAAACCCGCUGCAGUCAUCACAACCCACAGCUCUGGGUGGGACAGCAGCCCCGGGGCUGGCUUCCAGGUCCCUGAGGUGAGGAAGAAGUUCGCCCCUAACCCCUCAGCCAUCUUUCAGGCCUCGGCUCCCCGGAUCCUCAACAUGUGAUUGCCCAUGGAGAGAAGCGAGCAGCCACAGAGGAUCAGAACCCACUGCCGGGGGACUGGGGUGAGGUCUCAGGACCAGACGGCCCCUGCUGUCAGAGGGGGAGGGUCCUCCGUUCUCACCGUGGGGCACUACUUCCUCUCCAAGCUGCACAAGGCCGCGGGCAGAGCAGAGGCACAGAGGGACACAGCACCACCCAGCUCAGCUCUGGGCCUCAGAGACGUGUGCGGAAGCCUUCAGAUCGUUUUUAAUUGCCUCUUUUGGCCACCCUUCAUUUUUUAAAUCUGAAGAACUUGAUCAAUUCUGUGAACUGAAUUGGUCGCUGGGGGCUGAGGAACAUGGACAUAACAGGUCCUUGAAAGAUCCAGUAAUGUCCACGUUAUUGUUUUUGCAGGCUGCACGAUAAUUUUAUAACCUAUGGUAACCCAAGGUGGUGUCCUUGGAUAGUCCCACCAACGGCCCCACAUGUUCAGGCUGCAGAAGAAGUCUUUCUUAGGUUAUCACCUGCAUGUGACUCAUGAUGAUGCUAAGUAACCAGGAAGGAGUUUCCCAAGGAAGCAGAAUAUCAAUCAUCAUAGGGUUUCAGUUUUAAAGACAAUUUCUUUAUGGCCAAGACGACCCUGGUUUUAACAAAACAUUUCUUGGCAUGAGUGAAGUACUGAGUGAAUGACAUUUACCUUAGUAUUACUGACUCCAGUUUUGUUCCCUUAACGUAUUGAUGACUAGAUGGGAACUACUAUACUAAGAACUGGGAGCUUCUUUGGGAGAAGGGUGGCAUUCGCUUCAUUCCCUGGAAGACCUGAAAACGUCAUCUCAUUACAGGGAGCUCACUAGCUGUUGAGGCAGCUCAUUCUGUUUUUGGAAGGCCCUCUCCUGACUUUCUUGACAAAUUCCAGCCAGUGCAGCCACCUGGAACUAGCCCGGUCCCCUCUUUGCACAGCAGCCCUCGAAACAGUUGAAGGAGUUUGUGUUCCUUUUAGAGAUUAGAGGCACAAGCGAAGGACAGUUUUGGUAAGGAAGCUCAAGGAUUUCCCUUUGGAUCUUUACCCCUUUCCAGCCCUCAGGUGGCUUAGCCAGAGGACUGAAUGUGCCAUGGCUACUGCUGCUCUCCCUUGGAGGCUUGUAGAUUCUGAGAACGCUGACCGUGGGCUGCAGUCGCACUGGUGUCGUAUGUAGUAAUAUUUAACAGAACCCACGAACUUCCUCUUUUACACUUACUUACCCAUAUCCCCCCAACCCCGCCAGGAGCCUAGAGUAAAAAGACUGUCUUUGAAGCUAGUCUUGGGCUCAAAUCAUCUUGGCUUCUCCACUCACUAGCUGGGAGCAGUUUAAGCGUCUGUUUCCUUAUCUGCAAAGUAUGGGUAAUGCCACUCCCCUCCCCACCCUCCCAAGAGAAUGUGUUUAUGUGCAGCGUGCUUAGUACAGUAAAUGGCCAACAAAGCACAGCUGCUGUACUCUCCUGCCCAAGCACCCCUUCCCGGGAGCCUGCUUUACUCCCAUCUGCAGCUUUGGUCCAUCUGAUGCCACUGACAGGCCCUCUCAGUAGCCCCUGCCUGUGUCACACCGCAUAGCCAGCCAUGCCCAUCCCUCCCCCAGAGCCUGUCCCAAGAGCCCAUUCACUGAGCUGGGGUAAAGCAGGCUCCCAUGCUGGCAGUGUUGGCUCCGCAGCAGCGGUGGGAGCACCACCGCCUGGGAGAGGCCUGACCUCUGGAAGGCACCCUGCACACCCAGGAACAAACAGCUUUUCAAAAACACCCCAACCCAACAGCCUUCCGUACUAGACUUCAUUAAUUAUUAGAUCUGGAUUCUGAAGCAGCAGCUUCCUCCCACUAGGUCUUAAUAAGGCCUUAACAUUAUGUUACCGGAGUCGCCUUCAGAAGCAACUGAGAUAACAGCCUCAACCACGCGGUCCCAACUCACCUAGGUCAUAUGUAUGACACAAACAGACGAAGACCGAAAGGAACGCGCUGGAAUACUGAUGGUGGCUAUCUUUGAGACGGGGAACUAUGGAUAAUUAAAAAUUUUUUACACCUUAGAAUAUUUGCUAAAAGUUUCUAUAUAAUUAAUUAGCAUUUUUAUAUUAAAUUAAAAAGCAGUUUAAUCUGCUUGUUAGGUAAUUUUAGCCAAAGGAAAGAGUUCAAAUUAAUUAUUCCAUGACCAAAGUUAGCACUGCAGUAGCAGCCUGGACCAGCCGUGAGGAGGCCCAACCACAGGGAAGCCCCUGGGUCCUUUCACCCACAGUCAUUUAGACCAAGACUGACGGCUCCGUAGUGAGUCGAACUCAGAAAAACCCAUUACAAACGCUAAUACUUUCAUCCUUGUAAUAACUCCAGGAUUUUUUGCCAAACUCCAAAAAGCAGCUUUUGAGAGAACCUUGGCCAUGCAGCCCACCCUGGGCCAACGGGGGACCCUUUGAGCAGGAUCAGCUCCGCUGGCCUCACUCACACAGGUGCCUUCAGUCAGUUAAGAGGGAGCCCCCGAUUAAGGUCCUCCAGUUUCCGGCAGAGGUUGUCAGCAGAGGAGAAUGAUGACGGGCACUCUAAAUGAGAGGUAAUCAGUCUUAUGACAGCUGUGGUGACAAAAGAAAGGGACUUUCUAUCUCCGAGGGACCAAUAGCCUGAGACCCAGAGAAGAAGGGGAGAAGACUCGUCUGUGUGAGGGUGGCUAUAAGGUCACAAAGGAAGAAGUCACUUCUGCCACAAGGAAAGGAGUUUGAUCAAGAAGGUCUUCAAAGGAGAAAUGAUGCUGAGGAAGGGGGCUCCUGAAUGAACAGUGUGUUCCUGUUGCACGUCACGGGCCAGAACAUUCCUGGCUGGGGCACAACACUCGGGACACUUGGGCACAAAUAGUUCUGUAGGGACCAUCCUGGGGGGUGGGCGGGACACCCAGGGUGGGCUCCUGUUCUCUGAGGCAGCUCUUGGAGUCCUCAGGUCCCUUCACCUCAGCUGAAGGAAAGAGCACUGAAAACUGCUGGGGCUGACGUGGCCCGAAAACCAUGGAGGCUGAGAGGUGACCGUGGGCUCCAAGGAAACACCUCUCGGCUGCCGAUGGUGCUCCGAGUCCCACCAGUGCUCACCUGGCUC